AAAUCGUACCCCAAACCGACACAGGUGGUCAGGUAGAGAAUACCAAGGCGCUUGAGAGAACUCGGGUGAAGGAACUAGGCAAAAUGGUGCCGUAACUUCGGGAGAAGGCACGCUGACACGUAGGUGAAGUGAUUUACUCAUGGAGCUGAAGUCAGUCGAAGAUACCAGCUGGCUGCAACUGUUUAUUAAAAACACAGCACUGUGCAAACACGAAAGUGGACGUAUACGGUGUGACGCCUGCCCGGUGCCGGAAGGUUAAUUGAUGGGGUCAGCGCAAGCGAAGCUCCUGAUCGAAGCCCCGGUAAACGGCGGCCGUAACUAUAACGGUCCUAAGGUAGCGAAAUUCCUUGUCGGGUAAGUUCCGACCUGCACGAAUGGCGUAAUGAUGGCCAGGCUGUCUCCACCCGAGACUCAGUGAAAUUGAACUCGCUGUGAAGAUGCAGUGUACCCGCGGCAAGACGGAAAGACCCCGUGAACCUUUACUAUAGCUUGACACUGAACAUUGAGCCUUGAUGUGUAGGAUAGGUGGGAGGCUUUGAAGUGUGGACGCCAGUCUGCAUGGAGCCGACCUUGAAAUACCACCCUUUAAUGUUUGAUGUUCUAACGUGGACCCGUAAUCCGGGUUGCGGACAGUGUCUGGUGGGUAGUUUGACUGGGGCGGUCUCCUCCUAAAGAGUAACGGAGGAGCACGAAGGUUGGCUAAUCCUGGUCGGACAUCAGGAGGUUAGUGCAAUGGCAUAAGCCAGCUUGACUGCGAGCGUGACGGCGCGAGCAGGUGCGAAAGCAGGUCAUAGUGAUCCGGUGGUUCUGAAUGGAAGGGCCAUCGCUCAACGGAUAAAAGGUACUCCGGGGAUAACAGGCUGAUACCGCCCAAGAGUUCAUAUCGACGGCGGUGUUUGGCACCUCGAUGUCGGCUCAUCACAUCCUGGGGCUGAAGUAGGUCCCAAGGGUAUGGCUGUUCGCCAUUUAAAGUGGUACGCGAGCUGGGUUUAGAACGUCGUGAGACAGUUCGGUCCCUAUCUGCCGUGGGCGCUGGAGAACUGAGGGGGGCUGCUCCUAGUACGAGAGGACCGGAGUGGACGCAUCACUGGUGUUCGGGUUGUCAUGCCAAUGGCACUGCCCGGUAGCUAAAUGCGGAAGAGAUAAGUGCUGAAAGCAUCUAAGCACGAAACUUGCCCCGAGAUGAGUUCUCCCUGAGACUUAGAGUCUCCUGAAGGAACGUUGAAGACGACGACGUUGAUAGGCCGGGUGUGUAAGCGCAGCGAUGCGUUGAGCUAACCGGUACUAAUGAACCGUGAGGCUUAACCUU
rnacentral:rRNA from 8 species